AGAGUUUGAUCAUGGCUCAGAACGAACGCUGGCGGCAGGCCUCAAACAUGCAAGUCUAGGGGGCGUAGCAAUACGUCACCGGCGGACGGGUGCGUAACACGUGGGAAUGUACUUACUGGUUCGGAACAACUCAGGGAAACUUGAGCUAAUACCGAAUGAGCCCGAAAGGGGAAAGAUUUAUCGCCAGUAAAUCAGCCCGCGUCCGAUUAGCUAGUUGGUGGGGUAAAGGCCCACCAAGGCGACGAUCGGUAGCUGUUCUGAGAGGAAGAUCAGCCACACUGGGACUGAGACACGGCCCAGACUCCUACGGGAGGCAGCAGUUGGGAAUCUUGGACAAUGGGGGAAACCCUGAUCCAGCCAUGCCGCGUGAGUGAUGAAGGCCUUAGGGUUGUAAAACUCUUUCGACGGGGACGAUAAUGACGGUACCCGUAGAAGAAGCUCCGGCUAACUUCGUGCCAGCAGCCGCGGUGAUACGAAGGGGGCUAGCGUUGUUCGGAAUUACUGGGCGUAAAGCGUGCGCAGGCGGUCUUCCAAGUCAGUGGUGAAAGCCCGGAGCUCAACUCCGGAACUGCCAUUGAAACUGUGAGACUAGAGUACGAGAGAGGUGAGUGGAAUUCCCAGUGUAGAGGUGAAAUUCGUAGAUAUUGGGAAGAACACCGGUGGCGAAGGCGGCUCACUGGCUCGUUACUGACGCUCAGGCGCGACAGCGUGGGGAUCAAACAGGAUUAGAUACCCUAGUAGUCC
rnacentral:rRNA from 1 species